rnacentral:pre_miRNA from 1 species
UUAACUUAAAUUUGUAUGAGUUGGAACGUUUGCAUAUGUUUGCCACUAGGGGCGCUCUUUCGACUGCAUACAAAUUUAAGUUA